GACGAACGCUGGCGGCGUGCUUAACACAUGCAAGUCGAACGGAAAGGCCCUGCUUUUGUUGGGUGCUGGGGUGGCGAACGGGUGAGUAACGCAAGAGUAACCUGCCCUUGACUUUGGGAUAACUUCACGAAACUGGGGCUUAUACCGGAUAGGAGCUCCUGCUGCAUGGUGGUGGUUGGAAAGUUUCGGCGGUUGGGGAUGUAGUCGGGGCUUAUCAGCCUGUUGGUGGGGUAGUGGCUGACCAAGGCUUUGACGGGUAGCCGGCCUGAGCGGGUGACAGGCCACACUGGGACUGAGAUACGGCGCAGACGCCGAGGGGAGGGAGCAGUGGGGAAUAGUGCGAAAUGGGCGGAAGCCGGAUGCAGCAAAGCCGCGUGCGGGAUGACGGCCUUCGGGUUGUAAACCGCGUUCGCCUGGGACGAAGCGUGAGUGACGGUAAUGGGUAAAGAAGCACCGGCUAACUACGUG
rnacentral:rRNA from 1 species